UAUCGUAUACACACGUACCUAUAAACAAGCUGCAUUUUAUAUCCAAGAGUAUAUUGUGAAGGCUUUUCACUCCAUAUUGAUUAAUCUCAAAUAAUAAUAUAUUUAUUCGACCAUCAUGAGAGUGCACAUUUAUUGUUUAUUUGCUAUAGUUUUACUUGCUAGCUUUUUGGACCAUGUCAUGUCCCAGCAUCCUCCGAAUGAUGGCCGUAUACAUUGCGAGGAUGACGAAGAGUGCGAUGAAGUCUGCCAUUUACGCUGUCGUUACCCAAGUGAGCCUUUCUGCGAUGGUGCUUGUUGGUGUGCUCCAUUCUCGUUAAAAUGAAUUUUGUGCGUAUGAAUCAGCAUAAUAUACAUUGUUUCAUGUAAA